GGCGAACGCUGGCGGCGUGCCUAAUACAUGCAAGUUGAGCGCUGAAGGUUGGUACUUGUACCAACUGGAUGAGCAGCGAACGGGUGAGUAACGCGUGGGGAAUCUGCCUUUGAGCGGGGGACAACAUUUGGAAACGAAUGCUAAUACCGCAUAAAAACUUUAAACACAAGUUUUAAGUUUGAAAGAUGCAAUUGCAUCACUCAAAGAUGAUCCCGCGUUGUAUUAGCUAGUUGGUGAGGUAAAGGCUCACCAAGGCGAUGAUACAUAGCCGACCUGAGAGGGUGAUCGGCCACAUUGGGACUGAGACACGGCCCAAACUCCUACGGGAGGCAGCAGUAGGGAAUCUUCGGCAAUGGAUGAAAGUCUGACCGAGCAACGCCGCGUGAGUGAAGAAGGUUUUCGGAUCGUAAAACUCUGUUGGUAGAGAAGAACGUUGGUGAGAGUGGAAAGCUCAUCAAGUGACGGUAACUACCCAGAAAGGGACGGCUAACUACGUG
rnacentral:rRNA from 1 species